GACAGAGGUGCCAAGCGUUAGGCGGAAUCACUGGGCUUAAAGCGCGUGUAGGCGGUCCGGUAAGUCCGCUGUGAAAGUCGAGGGCUCAACCCUCGAAUGCCGGUGGAUACUGUCGGGCUAGAGUGCGGAAGAGGCGAGUGGAAUUCCUGGUGUAGCGGUGAAAUGCGCAGAUAUCAGGAGGAACACCUAUUGCGAAGGCAGCUCGCUGGGACGUAACUGACGCUGAGACGCGAAAGCGUGGGGAGCAAACAGG
rnacentral:rRNA from 1 species